UAUGUAGAUCCGUUUAGAGGGGAAUCCACUCCUCAGACUCAUAACGGAAAUCGUCGCGUCCCUGGUGGACAGGUAUUUAUUAAGGCUGGCCCGCUCCUCCAGGGCCCCGUGGCUGACUUUCGGCUCCUUCCUGAACCGCCAGGAGAGGACGGGGACCCGAGGCUGAGAGGCACCCAGAGCGGCUGCUUCUCUGGAAAGUCGAGACAUACGGGAGAGAUCAGGGACAGCCAGUAAGCAAGAGGUGAAGGUGAGAGGUGCUUGCAGAUGAGUGAUCCCUGGUUCCUGACGACUCUUCCCUGUCAUGCCCCGUGCGCUUGGGGCUCCCCCUCCGUCUACCACGGCUAAUGUCCUUGCCCAGCCUCCUCAGGUUAUCAGCACGGAAAUGUAGGUUCAACUGGGAAGCCGUGGAGGUCGCUCCCUGACGUGAGAGGUGAUUAGUGUUCCAGCGUCUCCAUUGUUGCCACGGGAACCUUGUGGAGUCUGGCUGGAGCGGCCCUGGCAAAGACCCAGCCUAAGAACAUCUUAUUUGAUCAGUACAUGCCCAGAGCCGGUGCUCCUUCCCUGCCAGCUCACGUCACUCUCCUACGCAAACUCUGUGUCCUGAGUCACAAACGCUACCUUUCUCUGAAGGAGGCUUCAGGAAUUUCAGAUUUCUAUGAAUACGAGACUAUGCUCAUACAAAUGUGGCAAAUACAUGAAAAUAUUCAGGAUAUCACCCAUUAUGAAAUUAUACUGGGUGUCUGGCCUUGUUAUAUUUGUGACAGCAUUAAGGUAUUUGGCUGAAAUCUGAUUUAUCUUUCUGUGGAAUUUAUUUCAUUCACAAGAGGGAUAAUAAAAUAGAAAUUUCACGGUGUAUCAAUAAAACCGAAAAUAUUUAUUGGAGUUUCUA